rnacentral:rRNA from 1 species
AGCUCCAAUAGCGUAUAUUAAAGUUGUUGCAGUUAAAAAGCUCGUAGUUGGAUUUCGGGACGGGCCAGUUGGUCCGCCGCAAGGUGUGUUACUGACUGGUUUGUUCUUCUUCGCAAAGACUGCGUGUGCCCUUCACUGAGUGUGCGUAGGAUUUACGACGUUUACUUUGAAAAAAUUAGAGUGUUCAAAGCAGGCUAUCGCUUGAAUACAUGAGCAUGGAAUAAUGGAAUAGGACUUUGGUCCUAUUUUGUUGGUUUCUAGGACCGAAGUAAUGAUUAAGAGGGACAAUUGGGGGCAUCCGUAUUUCGUUGUCAGAGGUGAAAUUCUUGGAUUUACGAAAGACGAACAACUGCGAAAGCACUUGCCAAGAGUGUUUUCAUUAAUCAAGAACGAAAGUACG